UGCCCAACUGACCUCAGAUCGCCUUUUCCAUUUGCUAAGAGGUGCUGUUUCCUUUUUUUUUAAUAGGUUUUGGUCACAAGAGAUCCAGCGUUCAAGAAGGCACCCACUCACCCCUGCAUCGGGUGUCCUGGGGCCGGACUGGGCAGUGAUUUCACGCACGUCGUCUUCUUCAGAUCGCUGGUGGACAUAUGUGACACCCCUCUGUCCUUUGGCAUUGCGUUCCUUUGCAUCGAGGUGUUCCAUUAGGUUUGCUGGGAUGGGAAACCUGCUCAAAGUCCUUACCAGGGAAAUUGAAAACUAUCCACAUUUUUUCCUGGAUUUUGAAAACCCAGGUCCUGUCUUCUGUAGAAGGAUUCAUCAUGCUGGUGGGACCCCCAGUGCCUGCCCCGUUCCUGUGGUGGACCAGUCUGAAGAGCACUUUGAUUUGACAGCCUUCACAGGCUUCUUUUCCCCAGUUCUUGGGACAUCAUCAUCUUUGAUGCUGUGGAUCAGAAUGGAGACCCUGGUUCCAAAGAGCUCAGGAUUCAAAGAUAAGCAGAAAAGCCAUCGCAAGACACACUGAGAAGUAUAUCUAAGCUAUCCUUCCAACUAUUUAUUCA
rnacentral:lncRNA from 1 species